AGGAAGUAUUUUCCUUAAUCUCAUACUUAGUGAUGACUCUGAGUGCAUUUGGCUCGAGACUUAGACCCUUGGCGCGGACUUUGUCGGUGUGGAAAGACUCAAGCUACCUAACUUAUUUUGUCUGAAU
rnacentral:snoRNA from 1 species